CGUGUUGCAGUGAAGAGAAGGAGUAGGCGGGUCAUGGCUGUCCAGAGAGUCUGGCGAAUGCUGCGAGUCAGACCAGUGCAUCCGGCCGAACGUCGUCUUGGAGCAAUGUUGUCCGCAGAAGCGGACACCGGAUCAUCCCGUUAUCGAUGACGAGUGUUCUGGUUUCAUACACGUUCAGUGCGCAUAAAUACAGCCGGUGUGCGUGUAUGAGUACAGGAAAUUCAGGUGGUACCGCGGAAUCAAAGCCUUCCGUCCUGACA
rnacentral:ncRNA from 1 species